UGGGGAAUUUUGGACAAUGGGGGAAACCCUGAUCCAGCCAUCCCGCGUGUGCGAUGAAGGCCUUCGGGUUGUAAAGCACUUUUGGCAGGAAAGAAACGUCAUGGGUUAAUACCCCGUGAAACUGCCGGUACCUGCAGAAUAAGCACCGGCUAACUACGUGCCAGCAGCCGCGGUAAUACGUAGGGUGCAAGCGUUAAGCGGAAUUACUGGGCGUAAAGCGUGCGCAGGCGGUUCGGAAAGAAAGAUGUGAAAUCCCAGAGCUCAACUUUGGAACUGCAUUUUUAACUACCGUGCUGGAGUGUGUCAGAGGGAGGUGGAAUUCCGCGUGUAGCAGUGAAAUGCGUAGAUAUGCGGAGGAACACCGAUGGCGAAGGCAGCCUCCUGGGAUAACACUGACGCUCAUGCACGAAAGCGUGGGGAGCAAACAGG
rnacentral:rRNA from 1 species